rnacentral:rRNA from 1 species
UUGACCGUGAAGUAAAUAAGUCCAGAACGACCCCCCU